rnacentral:misc_RNA from 1 species
AACCUUAUGGACCUGCGGGCGUAUACCUGCGGAAGGAUCAUCAUUGACAUGUAUCUCUACAGACCCUGUGCACUGUAUGGGACGAGUGGGGUUGGCGGGGCUAAGGGAGCGGCGGCCGGCUUGCGCUGGCUGGCCCUUGUGUGCGCGGCACGUGUGUCCGCACGCCCGCCGCCUGCUCGCAUUUUACACAAAUUCUUUCAAUCGCAGACUGAAAAUUACACUUUUAAUAACAAACACAAC